GACGAACGCUGGCGGCGUGCUUAACACAUGCAAGUCGAACGGAAAGGCCCUGCUUGCAGGGUACUCGAGUGGCGAACGGGUGAGUAACACGUGGGUGAUCUGCCCUGCACUUCGGGAUAAGCCUGGGAAACUGGGUCUAAUACCGGAUAGGAGCCAUUUUUAGUGUGAUGGUUGGAAAGUUUUUUCGGUGUAGGAUGAGCUCGCGGCCUAUCAGCUUGUUGGUGGGGUAAUGGCCUACCAAGGCGGCGACGGGUAGCCGGCCUGAGAGGGUGGACGGCCACAUUGGGACUGAGAUACGGCCCAGACUCCUACGGGAGGCAGCAGUGGGGAAUAUUGCACAAUGGGCGCAAGCCUGAUGCAGCGACGCCGCGUGGGGGAUGAAGGCCUUCGGGUUGUAAACUCCUUUCGCUAGGGACGAAGCUUUUUGUGUCGGUACCUAGAUAAGAAGCACCGGCUAACUACGUG
rnacentral:rRNA from 1 species